CGGGGCGGAAGGGAGGAGCCAGGGUCUUCCUCCUCAUUUCUCUCUGCUUUAGUGGCAACUUGGGAAGUGGUUGGGUCACCGCCAGGGUUCCAGCUCCCAUGGGCAGCCCCCUGCCUGACUGUGGUUCCGGUGUCCCACACCUAGUCUGGUUCCCAGGCUUUGGGUAUCGGCACUUCCUCCCCGGUCUCUGGAGUCCCAGGUUGUCACAGCUGCCUGCCGCUGCUUGUCGGACAGGAUCUCAUGUUAUUUAGGCUUGUCUGGGACUCCUGGCCUCAAGCAAUCCUCCUGCCUCGGCCUACCGAAGUGCUGGGAUUACAGGCAUGAGCCACUGCACCCGGCCACCAGCAUUUGUUAAAGUCUCACCACGGAUCAGGCUCUCAUCUAAAAAACUUGAAGUUGUCAUUCUGUGUCCUUACAGUAACC
rnacentral:lncRNA from 1 species